UACGGAGGGGGCGAGCGUUGUUCGGAAUCAUUGGGCGUAAAGGGCGCGUAGGCGGCCGUCCAAGUCGGGUGUGAAAUCCCUCGGCUCAACCGAGGAACUGCACUCGAUACUGGUCGGCUAGAGUCCGGGAGGGGAUGGUGGAAUUCCCAGUGUAGCGGUGAAAUGCGUAGAUAUUGGGAGGAACACCGGUGGCGAAGGCGGCCCCCUGGACCGGUACUGACGCUGAGGCGCGAAAGCGUGGGGAGCAAACGGG
rnacentral:rRNA from 1 species